GGAAGAGCUCGGCCUCUUCCCCACCUAUAAAAGGUAGCGGAAGCUCUGAGAACACUGCAAAUAACGGUCCGCCCAUCGGACCAGCGUUAACAAAGACUUGGGCCACCGCUCAAUCUUAAACAUUAACACUAUGUACUAGGUAUAGAAAUCAAAAGAGACAGGGCACAUAGACUACUGAAAAGAUUUGGUAAGGAAAAGUGUACAGCUGGAGAAGUUCUCAUGUCUAAAGGUGAUAAACUAACCAAGAAGCAGAGCCCUAAGAAUAAUGUUGAAAAAGAAAACAUGGAGUCAAGCCUUAUGCAAGACAUAUUGGAAGUCUUAUGCAUGCACAAGUCUGCACUAGGCUAGACUUGUCUUUUGCUGUUGGAAUAUUGUCAAGGUUCCAAUCUAAUCUAGGCCACGAACAUUAGGUGGUUGGAAAGAAAGUGUUGAGAAACCUGUAGAGAACUAAAAAUCAUAUGCUUGUGUACAGACAAGUAAAAGAUCUAAAACUUGUUGGGUUUUCAAAUUCUGAUUUUAUAGGCAAUUAUGCAAACUCCAAGAAAUCUACUUGUGGCUAUGUGUUCAUGCUUGCGGGAGGUGCAGUUGCUUGGAAACCUAUGAAGCAAACUCUGGUUACAACCUCCAUCAUGCAAGUUAAAUUUAUUGCAGUAUAUGAAAGUGUGUGUGAAGGGCUUUGGAUCAAAAAAUUUCUGAUGCAGACUACGAUAUUGAGCCAUAUUGUGGCUGACACACUUGUGAUUUAUUGUGAUAUUGAGGCUGCUAUUUUCUUCAGUAAAAGCAGCAAAUGAUCAAAUAAUUCUAAGCAUAUUAAUCUAAAGUACUUCAACAUUAGAGAAAGAGUGAAACUUUUGAGCAUUGA